rnacentral:misc_RNA from 1 species
GAUGAAGAACGUAGCGAAAUGCGAUAAGUAGUGUGAAUUGCAGAAUUCAGUGAAUCAUCGAAUCUUUGAACGCACAUAGCGCCCCUCGGUAUUCCGUGGGGCAUGCCUGUUCGAGCGUCAUUUAACCCCUCAAGCCUAGCUUGGUAUUGGGUGCUUGUCCCGCCUCUCGCGCGGCGACUCACCUCAAAGUCAUUGGCAGCCCGCAUCUCGCCGGCCGUGAGCGCAGCACAGACGCGCUCUUGGCAACGACGGAUCGGCUCUCCAAAAGCUUAUUUCAACCACUGACCUCGGAUCAGGUAGGGAUACCCGCUGAACUUAAGCAUAUCAAUAAGCGGAGGA